UACAGAGAGCUGCAAGCUGUUAUUCGGAAUUCACUGGGCGUAAAGGGGUGCGCAGGCGGUUGGGUGUGUCAGGAUGUGAAAUCCCGAGGCUUAAACCUCGGAACUGCGUCUGAAACUACGUCGACUAGAGUACUGGAGAGGGAAACGGAAUUCACGGUGUAGCAGUGAAAUGCGUAGAUAUCGUGAGGAACACCAGAGGCGAAGGCGGUUUCCUGGACAGUUACUGACGGCUCAGGCACGAAAGCAUGGGGAGCAAAAGGG
rnacentral:rRNA from 1 species